UACGUAGGUGGCAAGCGAUACUCGGAAUCACUAGGCGUAAAGCGCAGGUAGGCGGUUUGGUAAGUCUUUUGUGAAAGCUCCCGGCUUAACUGGGAGAGGUCAAAGGAAACUACCAGACUAGAGUGUGGUAGGGGAUACUGGAAUUCCUGGUGUAGCGGUGAAAUGCGCAGAGAUCAGGAGGAACACCGAUGGCGAAAGCAGGUAACUGGACCAUUACUGACACUCAGCUGCGAAAGCUAGGGGAGCAAACAGG
rnacentral:rRNA from 1 species